rnacentral:rRNA from 1 species
CCUACGGGCGGCUGCAGUGGGGAAUAUUGCACAAUGGGCGCAAGCCUGAUGCAGCCAUGCCGCGUGUGUGAAGAAGGCCUUCGGGUUGUAAAGCACUUUCAGCGGGGAGGAAGGCGGUGAGGUUAAUAACCUCAUCGAUUGACGUUACCCGCAGAAGAAGCACCGACUAACUCCGUGCCAGCAGCCGCGGUAAUACGGAGGGUGCAAGCGUUAAUCGGAAUUACUGGGCGUAAAGCGCACGCAGGCGGUCUGUCAAGUCGGAUGUGAAAUCCCCGGGCUCAACCUGGGAACUGCAUUCGAAACUGGCAGGCUAGAGUCUUGUAGAGGGGGGUAGAAUUCCAGGUGUAGCGGUGAAAUGCGUAGAGAUCUGGAGGAAUACCGGUGGCGAAGGCGGCCCCCUGGACAAAGACUGACGCUCAGGUGCGAAAGCGUGGGGAGCAAACAGGAUUAGAUACCCUAGUAGUC